CCUGCGGGAAAGUGGGAUAGAGAAUGCCAGAGGUUACAAAUACCACAGUGUUAAUCUGAGGGCUCACUUCGAAGCCAGCUGAUGGGACAGGCUGGACCACGAUGCUGAGGAAAGAACAUGAGAGCCAGAGAGGAUAGGUUUCACGCCAUGGCCGCGCACAAUGGAGCCCUUUCUCUGCUCUGUUCUGAGCCAAACACUUAUAGAUAGAAAGGGCUGCAAAAGCGUUCCUGAUUGCUGAAAUAUUGCCCAUGGAGCGUUUAUUAUUACUGCAUUAAACGAAAUGGAGUCCUCAGUGGUAUUCGCUGCGUGUGUCAUCAAGCUCUGGCCUUCCAAACACAUUUAAUCGACAUCCAUCUCACAGCUAAUGAAAUGAAAAGCCGAAAGUUGUUAAGUUUCACAGGUGAUAAAACAAAUUAUGCAUAAUUCAGAGAUUAAUAUUAGGUAAGUCCCAUUCAAAGAGCAUCAGUAAUGCAAUGCAGCCUGG